rnacentral:rRNA from 1 species
GACGAACGCUGGCGGCGUGCUUAACACAUGCGAGUCGAACGGAAAGGCCCUGCUUUUGUGGGGCGCUCGAGUGGCGAACGGGUGAGUAACACGUGAGUAACCUGCCCCUGACUUUGGGAUAACUUCAGGAAACUGGGGCUAAUACCGGAUAGGAGCUCCUGCUGCAUGGUGGGGGUUGGAAAGUUUCGGCGGUUGGGGAUGGACUCGCGGCUUAUCAGCUUGUUGGUGGGGUAGUGGCUUACCAAGGCUUUGACGGGUAGCCGGCCUGGGGGGGUGACCGGCCACAUUGGUACUGAGAUACGGCCCGGACUCCUACGGGAGGCAGCAGUGGGGAAUAUUGCACAAUGGGCGGAAGCCUGAUGCAGCAACGCCGCGUGCGGAAUGACGGCCUUCGGGUUGUAAACCGCUUUCGCCUGUGACGAAGCGUGAGUGACGGUAAUGGGUAAAGAAGCACCGGCUAACUACGUG